GAUGAACGCUAGCUACAGGCUUAACACAUGCAAGUCGAGGGGAAACGCCAUCGAAAGCUUGCUUUUGAUGGGGUCGACCGGGGGACGGGGGGAGAAAGGGUAAUCCAACCGGCCAAUACCUUGGGGUAAACCUUCGGAAGUAAGACCAAUUACCAAUGAAAUCUCUAGAAAAACACUGGAAGAGAAUAAAGAAUUAAUGGGUAUGGAUGGGGAUGCGUCUGAUUAGCUUGUUGGCGGGGUAACGGCCCACCAAGGCAACGAUCAGUAGGGGGUCUGAGAGGAAGGUCCCCCACAUUGGAACUGAGACACGGUCCAAACUCCUACGGGAGGCAGCAGUGAGGAAUAUUGGUCAAUGGGCGAGAGCCUGAACCAGCCAAGUAGCGUGCAGGAAGACGGCCCUAUGGGUUGUAAACUGCUUUUAUAAGGGAAUAAAGUGAGAGUCGUGACUCUUUUUGUAUGUACCUUAUGAAUAAGGACCGGCUAAUUCCGUG
rnacentral:rRNA from 1 species